GCAACUCUUGAGAAGACUCAGCUCAUUGAAAAGGAUUUUUCUGAGCUGCACAUUCACUUCUAACCUGAUAUAUGGCCAUUCAUGAUGGAGCUAUAGUGUGAUUUCUGAGGGAAACUGCUGCUGCCAUGUCUGAAAGGUUUUACAGUGAAUGAAAAGGGAUAACUUUCUCAGUUGAUCUGAGAACUGUCCAUGCUUCUAACAGCAGAGAAAGAACAGAUGAGAUAGACAAAAGAAAAGAGAAAAAAUGAGUAUUCUGAAAAGAAAAAUAAAGAGAAGAGUGAAGAAAAGACUGUGCCCUCUGUGACAUCUUGCAGUCACAUGACCCAGCACAAAUUCAGGGGGAG
rnacentral:sRNA from 1 species